UGGGGAAUAUUGCACAAUGGGCGCAAGCCUGAUGCAGCCAUGCCGCGUGUAUGAAGAAGGCCUUCGGGUUGUAAAGUACUUUCAGCGGGGAGGAAGGGAGUAAAGUUAAUACCUUUGCUCAUUGACGUUACCCGCAGAAGAAGCACCGGCUAACUCCGUGCCAGCAGCCGCGGUAAUACGGAGGGUGCAAGCGUUAAUCGGAAUUACUGGGCGUAAAGCGCACGCAGGCGGUUUGUUAAGUCAGAUGUGAAAUCCCCGGGCUCAACCUGGGAACUGCAUCUGAUACUGGCAAGCUUGAGUCUCGUAGAGGGGGGUAGAAGUGGGGGGGUAGCGGUGAAAUGCGUAGAGAUCUGGAGGAAUACCGGUGGCGAAGGCGGCCCCCUGGGCGAAGACUGACGCUCAGGUGCGAAAGCGUGGGGAGCAAACAGG
rnacentral:rRNA from 1 species